rnacentral:tRNA from 1 species
GCCGUUGAGGGUGAUUGGUAGACGCGCUGGCUUCAGGUGCCAGUGGCUGCAAGGCCGUGAAGGUUCGAGUCCUUUCCUGGGCACCA